GGUAGCGUUCACUGUUGAGGUCAGUUGAGGUUGAGAUUCCAACUGUCGUAUGUACGUCGUAUCGAGUUAGUUGAACAAAAUUUUUACUCAUGCUACAAAAAUGGUAUCAUCGUGUACAUAUUGUGGUUCAAAACAAGGGAUCGAGGGUAGAAACACAUCAUAAGUUUCCUCUGAAAGAUAAGGAAAUAUUGCAGUUAUGGUUGCAGUUAUGCUGCAACAAAGAUAGCAUCUGAAACUGCUGUUGGGACGAAAAUUCGUCAUCACUUAAAUCGACGAAUUAUCUGGGAACGUCAGUGAUAGUUAUUAAUAAGAUUAGUAAAAACUAAUUACCUUGUACUAAAAUUGAGUUUGACCAAAAUGAGUGUCGCUUAAAUCUUCUGCUAGUCUUCAAUAGAUCUUAUAUUAAGAAGAUUAUUUUCUCAAAUGUAGCCUUGGGAUAAUAUAAUAUAAGCAUGCUUUCGAUAACUAAUUAUUAUUUAUUUGCAUGAAUUGCAAUAAAACAAGCAGGUGUUGUAAUAAGUUACUCAGCAGUACGGCUUGGCAUGAAUCGCACCAAAAAAUAUGAGCUGUGAGCUUUGUUAGAUGUAAGAUUUUAUUGUUCUUUGCGUGAAGUAAUAUUUUGCAUGAAUCGCACCAAAAAAUAUAAGCUUUGUUAAGGUUUAUAAGGUUUUAUUGGUUCUCUACAUAAUGUUAUAUUUCAUUUGUAUUUCUUUCAAAUUUACAAAUAAUAAAUAUGUUUAAAACUUAA